GCAGUCAUGGCCGAGUGGUUAAGGCGUUAGACUUGAAAUCUAAUCCCUCUGGGGUCGCAGGUUCGAAUGCUGCUGACUGCG
rnacentral:tRNA from 1 species